ACCGCAGUUCCUACUAAUACGACAACCGCAGCUCCUACUACUACAACAACCGCAGCUCCUACUACUACCACAACCGCAGCUCCUACUACUACCACAACCGCAGCUUCUACUACUACGACAACCGCAGCUCCUACUACUACGACAACCGCAGCUCCUACUACUACGACAUCCGCAGCUCCUCCUACUAUGACAUCCGCAGCUCCUAUUUUGACAACCUCAGCUGCUACUACGACAACCGCAGCUCCUACUACUACGACAACCGCAGCUCCUACUACGACAACCGCAGCUCCUACUACGACAACCACAGCUCUUACUACGACAACCGCAGCUCCUACUACGACAACCGCAGCUCUUACUACGACAACCGCAGCUCCUACUCCGACAACCAAAGCUCUUACAACCACAGCUCCUACUACGACAACCGCAGCUCCUACUACGACAACCGCAGCUCCUACUACGACAACCGCAGCUCCUUCUACGACAACCGCAGUUCCUACAAGAGCCACAACUGCUGCUCCUAAUAUGACAACAACCGUUCAUAACACAACAGAGACAGCUCUUGCUACGGCAAAAGCACUUCUAAAUACGACAAUUAGUGUUCCUACAGCAACAACCGCAGCUCCUACAGCAACAACCGCAGCUCCUAAUACAGCAACCACAGCUCCUAAUACAGCAACCACAGCUCCUAAUACAGCAACUACAGCUCCUAAUACAACAACAACACAAACGAGCACUACAACUCCACCUGCCGGACAGUCAACCACGAAUAGUGGGCUUAGAUAUAAGUUGGUACUGAGGGUGAAAUUGGACAUGACGACAGACCUAACCGAAUCUGAGAUCUUGAAACCGCUUCGUGCAGAACUGAUCAGACUAGGGCUGCCAGAGACCUUUACACUGCGAUUGAGAUUCAUUCAGAGCUAGUUGACCGGGGGAAGAGGAGGACGACACUGGAGAUAAAACACAAACAGAUUACAAUGCAAACCUGAUCACAAAGAUAAUUUACACACAUAUCUUACAAUAGAUUGUCCUCAGUAUUACAUUAUUCCCACAUGACCUACGGUAACUGGACCUAAUGUAUUCGCAACUAAAUAUCUACAGUGCCUUCAGAAAAUUCACACCCCUUGACUUUUCCCACAUUUUGUUGUUUUACAAAGUGGGAUUAAAAUGUAUGUAAAUGUAUUUUUUCGUCAACGAUCUACACUAAAUAUAGUUGAAGAAAAUGUAUAAUAUUGUAAAAAAUGUAAUCAUGAACAA